UAACUGGGCACACUUGAACAACGUGACCAGCAGUUUUUCGGUUAAAAUUUGAAGUUUAAUUGAUUAAUUUAUGGAACAAAAGUAACACUCGCUAUGGACAUCAACAAGAUAAAGAAUAAUGUGGUAAAAAGUGUCGCCACUGGCGAGGAGGUUAAACUUGAAAGCUUCUGGGAGAAGCAGACCUGUGUGAUCUUGUUCAUGAGAAGGUUUGGAUGACCCACAUGUCGUCUCCACAUCAAGGAGAUUUCCACUAUUCAUCCACGCCUCGAGGCCAACAACAUCCGUUUUGUUGGAAUCGGCGUGGAGGAGCUAGGAGUGCAAGAGUUUGUCAAAGGAGGAUUUUUUAGUGGAGAAUUGUAUAUUGACACAAAAAAGCAGUGUUACAAAGAUUUAGGUUUCAGAAGAUUGAAUAUUUUCUCAGGAAUUGGAGCAAUAUUUGCUAAGACUACCAGAGAAGGCAUGGCAAAGGCAAAAGAACAGAAUAUUGAUGGAAACAUGAAAGGAGAUGGAUUUCAGAACGGAGGUGCUCUUAUUGUUAAAGCUGGUGGCUCUGAGGUAAUAUACAGUUAUAAGCAGGAGGACCCCAGUGUAUAUGUCAGUCCUAAUGAAAUCCUGAAGGCCCUGGGGCUGGAGGAACUGAAGGAGGCACCCCAGGGGGAGGAGGCCUCAGGGGGAGGAUGAUCCUAGUGGGCGCUUGUGUCGAGUCUCUCUGGAAAAUCCAUGGGGAUUCCAUAAGCUCAUAUGAGAAGUAUAGGAGUUUCUGAAGAGAUAGGGAAUUCUGAAAGCAUUUGUUUUUCAUCUGGAAAUCCCAUAUAUUUCACAUGCAGCAAUUAGUUAUAGAAAAACUGGGAGGCAAUUGGAAAAACCAGAAUAAAUGAAGCUUUUUCACUUUCAUUCUUCAUGAUGGUAUUGGUAAAAGAGAAAUUUUACAAGUUGAAAUUCACCAAGUUUCAUAUGCAUUGUGUAUUGGUUUAAAUAGAUAGAAACUAAAACUUUUCUAAUGUAUGCUGAAUAGCAGAGGUAAUUUUGUAUUCUAAAAAAAGAAGAAAAUGAAAUCUUACUUUUACUAUCUUUUCUAGAAUUCUGUUUGAAAUAUGAACUUAAUGUGUUAAGGAGAGGUUUCAAAUACAGCUUUGUGGGAAAAGUUGAACUUGUAAUAUUAGAGUGUAUGUAAAAUGUGUGCAUGCUCCAUGUGCCGAAAUUAAGAAUGUAUUUUGAUAGUUAUAUUUACCAUUAACAGAAUCAGGAUAACAAAAUGUGAUAUAUUUAGAAAUUGGUCAUUUGUUUUCAGAUGUUAUUUUGUUAUGUUUGAAGUUCAUAAUUUUUUAAACCUGUACCGCGGGUACAUUAAUAUAUACCAUUAGGGAAUUCACGUCAUAACAGCCAUGUACUGAUAUCGAGAUAAAUCUCCUGUGUGACAGACAAAUGAGAUUACUGACCUAUAACCCACAGUGUGGGAGGUUUUUAAUUGAGGAAUAUCUGUCUAGGAGUUUUAUCUCUGUUAUCAGUGCAUGGACAGAUAGUCCCAUACAAAAUACAUGUACAUCAACAUUCAACAAUGAUAGCAGACCCCGCCAAAUAUGUUUUUGUUUUACAUUAUAUUUUUUUUUAUUUAUAUGUAAAUCUUCAUAUAUUUUACUUACAUUUUAUAGUGUAUCAUCCUGUAUAGUCUCAUUCAGUUUAUAUCAUUCUUUGCCAUAUCAACGACAUUUUGUCCGAAUUCUGCAUAAUUUCCAAUAUAUGUCAUACUGACACGUGAUGUAUUACUGGUCAGUGACAUUCUAUUGAAAACAGAUCAAUUUCAUAGUUCUCAUGCAUAUGAAUUUCAUUUAUACCUCAGGGGUAAAGGAAAGAUAUAUUUGUUCACCUUGAUAGAAAAGUAGUUGAUCGUAUGAUGUCAUUUCCUCAAAAUUUAUUUUUAAAAGGUGGUUAUGAUGGAAUGAAAUCAUUUUACUUUUCUAACAAGAUGAAGUUUGUUCCGAAAAAUCUCAUCAUUAAAAUCAUUUCAUCUAUUGUGCAAAUCUAGUACAUUAUGUAAAAAUAUGUUUCAAGAAAGUAAAUACUUAAAUAUAUACAAUAUCAUGUUGAAAUAAAUUGUAAUUAAAGAAAUCACCAUGUU